GGUAGCUCAGUCGGUAGAGCAGAGGACUGAAAAUCCUUGUGUCGGUGGUUCGAUUCCGCCCC
rnacentral:tRNA from 1 species